UUUAAUUUUUUUAAAAAAUAUAUAUUUAAAAUUUUGACAUUAUUUCAAAAUUUUGAUGUAAAUUUUUAAUAUUUAAUUUCAAUUUAAAUUUAAAUUAAUAUAUUAUAAAAAUAAAAUUAGCAUAUUAAUUUGAUUACGUUUUUUAUAUCUACCUAAACCAAACACUGACAAUGGAAAUGAUUUAUUCCGAUUCCGAUUCAGGUAACGAACCAAACAGAAUUAGGUAAUGAGUCAUUCCGAUUCUGAUUUUAGCUAAUUUCGAUUCCGAUUCCGAUUUCAAUUCUGAUUCCGACUUCAAACCAAACGCGCCCUAAAAUUUGAUUUUCAAAUGAAAAGUAAAUUUUCUGCCAAUAGAGCAUUUAAUAAUCUCUAUUUCAAAAUCUAAUUCUUACUUUUAAAAUUAAUUUGUUAAUUUUAAAAUUUGAAAAUAAAUCUAUUUUUUUAAAUCUUAUUCUAAUUUUGUACUCAAAGUUCAAAUUUUAAUUUUAAUUUUAAUUUUGAUUCAAAAUUUGAAUUUAAUUUUAUAUUUAAAAAUUUAAAAUUUAAGAAUUUUAGUUUUAAAUAUUAAAUUUGAAAUUUCAAGUUUUUAAUUUAAAAUUUUAAAAUUUUAAAUUAUAAAUUUUAAAUUUCAAAAUUUUAAAUUAUAAAUUUUAAAUUUCAAAAUUAAAAAUGUUAAAUUUUAUAUUUCAAAUUUAUAUAUUAAAUUUUAAAUUUUAAAUUAAAAUUUAAAAUUUAAAAUUUAAAAUUUAAAAUUUUGAAAACUUAUUUUUUAAUUUUUAGAUUUUAAAUUUUAAAUUCAAAAUAUCAAUGGCUGUAUUAGGGUUGUAACACAUAUCCAUUAUACACACAAAAUACCCUAACUCUAAAAGCGCAUUCGGUUCAAAAUCAGAAUUGGAAUCAGAAUCGGAAUCGAAAUAAGCUGGAAUCGGAAUCGGAAUGACUCAUUACCUAAUUCUUUUUGGUUCGUUACCUGAAUCGGAAUUGAAAUAAAUCAUUUCCAUUGUCGUUGUUUGGUUCAAAUAGUAAUAAAAAAUGUAAUUAAAUUAAUAUACUAACUUUAUAUUUAUAAUAUAUUAAUUUAAAUUCAAAUUGAAAAUUGAAUAUUAAAAAUUUACAUCAAAAAUUGAAAGAAUGUCAAAAUUUUAACUCUAUUUUUUUAACAAAAAUUAAACUUUGAAGUUGAGUGGAUAAUUUAAAAUAUAAAACUAAAUUUCGAUUUAUUCAAAUUCAAACUUAAAAUUUUAAUUUUAAUUUUAAUUUGAACCCAUAAAUUUAAUUUAUGUUUUAAAUAAAAUUUGAAUAAAAUUUUAUAUAAAUUAAAAUUUAAUUUUAAUUCAAAUUUAUAAGUUAGAUUCAAAAUACUUGAUUAAAUUUUAAUUUUUAAUUCAAAUUAAAAUUAAAAUAUAAAAUUAUAAAUUUAAUUUCUAAAUUUAAACUCAUCUUUUAAUUAAAAAAGUUGAAAAAAUAAAUUUAAUCCGAAUAAAUAUCCAUUAUGUCUGGAUUCAACUUCCACGAAAAUCGGAAUCGGAAUGGGACUCCCGUAUACCAAACACCCACAAACAGAUUCACACAUUCCGAUUCCGAUUCCGAUUCCAUGGUGAAAAAGAAGCGAACCAAACACGCCCUAAGCUCAAUGACUUUAUUAGGUUGUAA
rnacentral:lncRNA from 1 species